GUCACCGUGACAAGCGCUGAUGGUCCCCCCAUAAGAGUGUGUGCCAUAGCAGUAGAGAACGCCUGGUAAUCCAAACCUAAUUAGAAAGGUGGCCGUGGCACUUCUGGAGAUAAAGUCUUGCCACCUGCCAUGUCCUCAAGUGGAAAAUGGACAGUUACAUCCACAGCAUCAUCAUAAAUUCUCCUACACUUUAGCAAGCAGCUGAGAGAUUUGAAGAUGUGCAC